rnacentral:rRNA from 1 species
AGCACUAUACGGUGAAACUGCGAAUGGCUCAUUAAAUCAGUUAUCGUUUAUUUGAUAGUACCUUACUACAUGGAUAACCGUGGUAAUUCUAGAGCUAAUACACGCUAAAAACCUCGACUUCGGAAGGGGUGUAUUUAUUAGAUAAAAAACCAAUGCCCUUCGGGGCUCCUUGGUGAAUCAUAAUAACUUAACGAAUCGCAUGGCCUUGCGCCGGCGAUGGUUCAUUCAAAUUUCUGCCCUAUCAACUUUCGAUGGUAGGAUAGUGGCCUACCAUGGUAUCAACGGGUAACGGGGAAU